AUUGAACGCUGGCGGCACGCUUUACACAUGCAAGUCGAACGGCAGCGCGGGCUUCGGCCUGGCGGCGAGUGGCGAACGGGUGAGUAAUGCAUCGGAACGUGCCCAGUAGUGGGGGAUAGCCCGGCGAAAGCCGGAUUAAUACCGCAUACGACCUGAGGGUGAAAGCGGGGGACCGAAAGGCCUCGCGCUAUUGGAGCGGCCGAUGUCGGAUUAGCUAGUUGGUGGGGUAAAGGCUUACCAAGGCGACGAUCCGUAGCUGGUCUGAGAGGACGACCAGCCACACUGGGACUGAGACACGGCCCAGACUCCUACGGGAGGCAGCAGUGGGGAAUUUUGGACAAUGGGGGCAACCCUGAUCCAGCCAUGCCGCGUGCGAGAAGAAGGCCUUCGGGUUGUAAACCGCUUUUGUUCGGGAAGAAAUCCUCUGGGCUAAUACCCCGGGGGGAUGACGGUACCGGAAGAAUAAGCACCGGCUAACUACGUG
rnacentral:rRNA from 1 species